UUCAACUCCAUAUCCACAUUCAUAUCAUAUCUUGAAUCUUUGAAUUUAUUGAAAUAAUUGUACGUAUACUGAUAUACUAGCCAUGGACAAUGAUCAAAGCCUGCAGGCACAAGGUUUGUGUUGGUAUGCUAUUGUGAUUUGAGUACUUAUAUGGUCAUUGUAUCAUACUAAUAUGAAUAAUAUUAAUUUUUCUGUAACAGGUGCGUUUUCAGACCCAUAUGCAGCUCCGCCACCAGCCGGUUACCCGACGAAAGAUGGUGCUGCAGGUCCAGAGGCAUCGGGUCAAGUAGCAACUGAAUCAAGAGGUGGUAAAUGUUGGGGAUGUUGUGGAUGUUGUUGGGAUAUCUUCUGUUGUUUCUGCAAUUCAUGUUCUUCUUCUGAAGAAUAAUUCAUAUAAUUUCUUCUAUGUACAAACUCACAGUCCAUGUAAUGCUCGC
rnacentral:lncRNA from 1 species